rnacentral:rRNA from 1 species
GACGAACGCUGGCGGCGUGCCUAAUACAUGCAAGUCGAACGCAUUUUCUUUCACCGUAGCUUGCUACACCGACAGAAAAUGAGUGGCGAACGGGUGAGUAACACGUGGGUAACCUGCCCAUCAGCGGGGGAUAACACUUGGAAACAGGUGCUAAUACCGCAUAAUUCCAUUUACCGCAUGGUAAAUGGAUGAAAGGCUCUUUUGCGUCACUGAUGGAUGGACCCGCGGUGCAUUAGCUAGUUGGUGGGGUAACGGCCUACCAAGGCUGCGAUGCAUAGCCGACCUGAGAGGGUGAUCGGCCACACUGGGACUGAGACACGGCCCAGACUCCUACGGGAGGCAGCAGUAGGGAAUCUUCGGCAAUGGACGCAAGUCUGACCGAGCAACGCCGCGUGAGUGAAGAAGGGUUUCGGAUCGUAAAACUCUGUUGUUAGAGAAGAACAAGGAUGAGAGUGGAAAGUUCAUCCCUUGACGGUAGCUAACCAGAAAGCCACGGCUAACUACGUG